UACGUAGGGUGCAAGCGUUAAUCGGAAUUACUGGGCGUAAAGCGUGCGCAGGCGGUUUUGUAAGUCUGUCGUGAAAUCCCCCGGGCUCAACCUGGGAAUUGCGAUGGAGACUGCAAGGCUAGAAUCUGGCAGAGGGGGGUAGAAUUCCACGUGUAGCAGUGAAAUGCGUAGAGAUGUGGAGGAACACCGAUGGCGAAGGCAGCCCCCCUGGGUCAAGAUUGACGCUCAUGCACGAAAGCGUGGGGAGCAAACAGGAUUAGAGUACCCCAG
rnacentral:rRNA from 1 species